CAAAAAAUAGCUUAUUAAAGCACCUAGCUUACAACUAGGAGAUGUCAACUCACUAAGACUUUUUUGU
rnacentral:tRNA from 1 species